GUGCAUAUUUCAGUAGCACAUAUACUAAAUUUGGAAUUAUACAAAGAAGACCAAUUGGUAUAUGAUCAAGAAUUACAGGCAAUUUUGAGAAUCUUUUCAUAUUUUU
rnacentral:snRNA from 1 species